rnacentral:rRNA from 1 species
GAUUUCUGGUUUGACGGCGCUGACCCGCUUCUUACGAGGUGAGUGUUGGUUGUCGUCUGCCAUCCUUCCAGAAAACUUUCUACCCUUCACUGGGCUGGAUUGGCAAUCUGGAACAUUUACUUUGAAAAAAUUAGAGUGUUCAAAGCAGGCUUGCGCUGUGAAUACAUUAGCAUGGAAUAAUAAUUUAGGGCUUUGGUUCUAUUUUGUUGGUUUCUAGGAUUGAAGCAAUGAUUGAUAGGGAUAGUUGGGGGUGCUAGUAUUAAGAGGCCAGAGGUGAAAUUCUUGGAUUCUCUUAAGACUAACUUAUGCGAAAGCAUU